UUUUAGCUCCCUGGACUAGGAUGGGCUCUAGUAUUAUUCCUUUUAUUAUCGGUGUUGUUGUUGUUAUUAUAUCCAAUUUAAAAUUAUGCCUUUGUUACUCGCAAGGAGCCUGUAAAUUUACCUUAAACCUGAUUUCUUUCCUAGCCAAUGGUGUCAGGGGCCGGCUAGCCUGUCCCUCCGGAGCAUUAACCCUUGUCGCUAGCUGGAGUGAGUGAGAAGCUGAGGUUUGGCCCUGAGGAGCUGUGUGUGUGUAGAUCUGGCACAGCUUUGCUCCCUUAACUCCUGGAUCUUUGUUUUGGUGGCGACCAGGGAGAGUAGGGAGCGCUGUGCUCGCACUUCCCUCUGGCUUUUACACACACACACACGCGCACACACACACACAAAUCCCCCUUUCCAACUUUCUGCCUUUUGCGCUUCCCUUCCAGUUUUUCACUUCUCAGACCUACUGGCAGCAUUUGCCGAGAUCUAGAUCCCCGCCGUGAUUUGAUUCACAGAGAAAUGCGAGCGAUGCGUGCCACUGAUUUGGGUCAUCUGCAGGCAAUUCAAAAGGAAAAGGAAAGCAAGCAGUGUUUAUUUCAGUAAAUCAUAUGAUGCCUGUGGCUAGCAGUCUGCCAUGAGUUUCCCUGAAAGGUGGGAUAGAAAUAGGAGGAAUGUCGUGUUGGAAACCACAUGAAGAUUCAUGUCACAAUAUCCGUGACAAGUUCACAUCCUG